GUGCCUUUGCCGCCGGUCACCUCCCCUAGCGCGGCCUUCUACGCACCCCUCCCUCCCCGUCAUGCGCCCCUCCGGCGCGACCUUCUCAUUGCGGGCCGCUGGCCGUCGAACACCUCCCUCGGCACGGCCUGCUGCGCGCGCUUCACUGGUCUCCCCCGUCGCGUGCCCCUUCGGCAUGGCUCCCCAUCUAUGGGCCAACCAUUCGCCGUCGUCGCAACUGUCCUCGUCGCCGAUGCCAUGUCUGAUCGCCAGCCGCGCGUCUCGGUGCCAUCGAGGUUCUUCCCCCGCCCUAGCCUCGUCCUCAUCGUCGUCGGCGCCACCACUCCGGCCUCUGACGAAACAUAUGCCUAAAUCCCAUCACCGGUUGUGCCCCAUGCUUCUAGCGUGCUUUCUGCACGCGUCGUCAUCAACAGUGCCGCCCCUACGAGCGCAGCCGCCCCCAGCAUCGCCGCGGGCUCCCUCCCCUUCUCCGGCGUUUUGCCCGGCGAGCCCAUCGGCGCUGCGAAAGUUGGCCUCUUCACCGGUGGUCUCGGCAUGCUUCCUGACGCGCUUCCUAGCGACGAGUACUUGGCCCCUCCUGCAUCCCUCACUGCCCUCUACGUGGCUGCGCUAUUUUGAAGCGGAAGCCCGUCGUCUCUCACUCCAGCGCUGAAGUCGAGUAUGGCCAACGGUGUCACAGAGGCGGCAUGGCUCCGGCAGCUGCUCCAGGAGCUACACAACCCACUGUCACGAAGCACCCUCGUGUACUGUGACAACGUUGCUGUCGGAGAUGUGCGGGUUCUUCAUGUCUAGAUUACUUCUCGAUUCGCAGACAUCUUCAUUAAAGGCCUCCCUACAUCGGUGUUUGAGAAAUUUCGGUUCAGUCUCAAACAUCUCGUGUGGCUAGAGUUUCAACUGUAAGGAGUUAGAGUUACCGUGUUUAUUCCGUGUAAUAGGUUGUUGUGUAAUGGGCUAGGCCCAACCAACAUCUCUAAUAUAAAUAUAACACCUAACCCUAGUUAAGGUUUACAGUCCAAAACUGUGGUCUUUAUGAUGGCAUGGGUAUGUUUUGAGAAAAUCUACAUACAUUGGCCAUCAA